AACGAACGCUGGCGGCAUGCCUAACACAUGCAAGUCGAACGAGACCUUCGGGUCUAGUGGCGCACGGGUGCGUAACGCAUGGGAACCUGCCCUUAGGUUCGGAAUAACUCCCCGAAAGGGGUGCUAAUACCGGAUAAUGUCUUCGGACCAAAGAUUUAUCGCCUUUGGAUGGGCCCGCGUUGGAUUAGCUAGUUGGUAGGGUAAAAGCCUACCAAGGCGACGAUCCAUAGCUGGUCUGAGAGGAUGAUCAGCCACACUGGGACUGAGACACGGCCCAGACUCCUACGGGAGGCAGCAGUGGGGAAUAUUGGACGAUGGGCGAAAGCCUGAUCCAGCAAUGCCGCGUGAGUGAUGAAGGCCUUAGGGUUGUAAAGCUCUUUUACCCGGGAUGAUAAUGACAGUACCGGGAGAAUAAGCUCCGGCUAACUCCGUG
rnacentral:rRNA from 1 species